CAAGGAUGAAUAUUUGAGUUACAUUUCCAUGGACAGCAGGGGUUUCCUUUGCCCCCUUGGUUGAUACAGUGGACUGGAGAAGGUCAAGGCCCACAUAGAUCCAACCUUGGCUUGUCAUUAGCAUGAUGCUCUAAGAGUAUGGAUUAACCCAAUCCCUGAUGGAGCAGGAAGUUACUCAAACUAUAUAUCCCUUCUUCACUUUGCACUGCCAUUUGUUACCAGCCUGGAGUUUUGAUCUGAUUCAUUUUUCUCUGCUAGGUAAAGAAUUAAAAGGCAGGUAAAAGUCUCAGACACAGCAGAUAGAAUCAACUGUCAAAGGCUUUUAUUAAGGGUGAGGAGACAUAUAUAGGGAAAAAGACACCCUGCAGAGGGGAGAGGGGUCUUGGUAGCUGAAGUCCCGGCUCUUUUUGAGGACUCUGGGUUUUAAGGCUCUUCCUCCCCUAAUUUAGGGUUGAUCAGUUUGGACAAAGACAGAGAGGCUGCUAGGCCCACAGCUUUGUGGGUAAAUAUGUCCUAAUCUAGCCUUGAAUUUGUGGGGCCUGAAUAAAGGCAGAUGGCCCUGCUGGUGGUAGGAAAAGCCCACCAGGCCUUUAAGAAUCAGAAAUGUGAGGGAGAAGUCAGAUUCUGCCAUCUUUAUUAUGCAUUGGUGGCCCUUCUUUCUAUAUGUCUGCCUAUGAGGGAUCUGUCUAACUUCUAGGCCUUCACAUCUGGCAGGGGAUGGUCCCUGUGACUGUUGCUUUGCAAAGUGAAUGAGAUAAAGACCGAACAGAUGAAGUGCUGUUUACCAUCAGCUGUGCUCCCAACGGUAGGUCUUUAGCUAAGUCAAUGUUUAACCCUUGUCCUAGAGUCAAUGUUUAAUCCCAGGACAGCCGGUUGUAUAAUACAGCAUUCCCUAUCAAGCUGAGAGUAUAGUUUACCAUUAAUCACCGAAAACCAGCAUUGAGACAGUGAAUCUGCUAAGGCUAAAUUGCAUCUUCUCCACCUUUGAAAGGGGCACCAGCUGUUUAGAAUUCCUCAUUGCACAGUAGCCCAUCAGCAGAUAACGAUCGAGUUUUCUGACCUCAGUGACCUCAUUCUGAACACAAUGCUCCUUCUUGUCCCCGUUCUGCCUGGAGAUUCUGGGGAAGAGCAUGGGAUGGGACUAUUGCCCCUGUUUGUCUAGCUGGCAACCAGAGAGCUGCUAGAUAGCAACAGGUUAAGUGCGAACCUUGUUUUGAAUCCUGCUAAGAGCGAUGGAAUGGAAAAGUUCAUUUGGCUAGUAUUGAGCAAGUUUGCUGAAACUUGCUGAGCCUAGAGUGGGCCUGAUUCUUUUUUCCACAGAUAUGAAGAGAUUGCAGCCAGAGGCAUCUGGAAGAGUUCAGAGAAGGGUGAGAAAGUAGUAGACUCAACAUGCCAGUAGACUGAGG
rnacentral:lncRNA from 1 species